UACGUAGGGGGCGAGCGUUGUCCGGAAUUAUUGGGCGUAAAGAGCGUGUAGGCUGUUCGGUAAGUCUGCCGUGAAAACCUGAGGCUCAACCUCGGGCGUGCGGUGGAUACUGCCGGGCUAGAGGACGGUAGAGGCGAGUGGAAUUCCCGGUGUAGCGGUGAAAUGCGCAGAUAUCAGGAGGAACACCAAUAGCGAAGGCAGCUCGCUGGGACGGUACUGACGCUAAGGCGCGAAAGCGUGGGGAGCGAACAGG
rnacentral:rRNA from 1 species